rnacentral:rRNA from 1 species
CAAUAGCGUAUAUUUAAGUUGCUGCAGUUAAAAAGCUCGUAGUUGGAUUUCGGGUGGGAAUGGCCGGUCCGCCGUUUCGGUGUGCACUUGCUACGCCCACCUUGCUGCCGGGGACGUGCUCUUGAGUUCACGCUCGGGACACGGAGUCGGCGAGGUUACUUUGAGUAAAUUAGAGUGUUCAAAGCAGGCCUACGCUCUGAAUACAUUAGCAUGGAAUAACACGAUAGGACUCUGGCCUAUCUUGUUGGUCUGUAGGACCGGAGUAAUGAUUAAGAGGGACAGUCGGGGGCAUUCGUAUUUCAUUGUCAGAGGUGAAAUUCGUGGAUUUAUGAAAGACGAACUACUGCGAAAGCAUUUGCCAAGGAUGUUUUCAUUAA